GCUCUGCUUCUUACACCAGCCUGAUUGCCUGGCCUGAAGAGGAGAGGUCAGAGAGUCUCUGGCUUGGCAGGAAUACUGCUCCUGUUACUAGCACUAGUGACCACAAGAUUACACAUCUCUCAACUGAUUGAUGAGCUUCCGGGGGAAGGAGUAUAAGCCACUUGGAUGGGACAAAGGACCGCUCAUCCUGCCUCCUCAGGGCCUCAGAAUUCAGCAAAGAUGCUGUAAGUGUCAUGUACAUUUAUGGCUACACUCAAGAUCUCAAGGAGAGAGUGUGCCACAUUCCUUGUAUUCCCAGCCAAAGACCGUCACUGAGGAUGCUCUGGGAACCUGUGAGUAGAAAAGAGAUGCCCCUGCCUUGAAGACAUGGAUGAGUGUGUUGGCUGCUGGUGGCUGACUGUGUACCAUGCUUGGAGGAUAUGGAGUGAUUCAGUCAGGAUCGAGUGAACCAGGCCAAGUUUACCAAUACUAGACCAUGUAGUUUUCCCACAGAGUGUGGUUCUCUUUGAGGCUUUAUCAUGGAAGUAUGCUUGUCCCCUCACCCAAGGAAAGGUAUGAAUUUAUCCAUGUGUGCAAUAUUUCUAUUAUCUGCAUUAUAUUAUUAGUAAAUAUAUAUUAUAUAUUAUCCAUAUUAUAUCUAUUAUAUUAUUUAUGGUUUAGGCAUUGUCUUGGGUACUGGAGACUCAAUAGUGAACCUAAAAGAUAAAUCCUUUCCCUUGUAGACUUCAGACUACUUGCAAGACAAGAUAAACUAUAUAGGGCAUGAACUGGUAUGUUCAAUGGAGAAAGAUCAGAGAAAGGGGAUGAAUAGUGGAGUGUGGAUGGUGAUUGUAGUCUUUAAAAGGUGGCAAGGAAAGGCCUUCUAAGAAGACAUGUGGAAGAUAGCCAUGCAGCCACCAGGGAAGAGGCUUCCAGAUGAUGCUGAGGCCGUGAGUAGUUCUGGAGAUUAGAAGUGUAAAAUCAGUUUCACUGAGCCAGAAUCAAGGAAGAAUUGACCCCCUAGACACACUUUGCCUCCCUUUAUGCCCCUUGUGAUUACAAGUAUAACUCACCCGAGCAACUCAGAACAUUCUGCUCAACCUCAAGAUCCUUAACAUAAUCACACCUACAAAGUCUCCCUCCACAUUUAAGGUAAGCUUCAAAGGUUCAGCGACGAGGACCUGGCUAUCUCGGGGCUGUUUCUUCAGCAUUUCGGAGUCCUAACCAUCUGUUAACUGAGCACAGCUCCGCGGCUCGGGCUUGGGUUUGGCUGGUUCUGAGGAAGACUCUUGAAUGACAGGACUUGCCCAGAGAUAUUCAAGCCACAGAUCUUACUUUUUUCUUACCCUUCUCCUUCCCAGGAAAAGGAGGAACUGACAGCAUUUGAGACCGGAGAGGCCGAGGCACUGAGUGCUAGGUGGCACAAGGGGCAAGACUAGAAUUCAAGGCCUCUGAUGCCCAAGACUUCCCAACAUUGUCUUCUCCCGCGUUCCCUCCAGGACCACCGCCUCCUUCUGGGCGGGGUCUUGGGCUGCUGUCUGCGCUGAGUGUCCAGCUCUCUCCUUGGGUCGCACUCACGAUCUUCCCGCAGAGACGGCCACACUGCGAUCUUGCAUGCAGCCAGCAGGGGUCAGCAUUGCCCGCACCAAGGGUCGUCCAGCUGCGGCGGGCGAGAGCCUGAGCUCAGCGACGUUUCU
ensembl:lncRNA